GGGGAAUAUUGCGCAACGGGGGAAACCCGGACGCAGUAAUAGCGCGUGAGUGAAGAAGGUUUUCGGACCGUAAAGCACUGUUAUCGGGGAAGAAAAAAAGACGGUACCCACGAAGACAGUCCUGUCUAAUUACGUGCCAGCAGCCGCGGUAAUACGUAGGGGACAAGCGUUGUCCGGAUUUACUGGGCGUAAAGGGCACGCAGGCGGUUUUUUAAGUCAGAUGUGAAAGGUACCGGCUCAACCGGUGACAUGCAUUUGAAACUGAAAGACUUGAGUAUUGGAGAGGCAAGUGGAAUUCCUAGUGUAGCGGUGAAAUGCGUAGAUAUUAGGAGGAACACCGGUGGCGAAGGCGGCUUGCUGGACAAAUACUGACGCUGAGGUGCGAAAGCGUGGGGAGCAAACA
rnacentral:rRNA from 1 species